rnacentral:rRNA from 1 species
UACGGAGGGUGCAAGCGUUAUCCGGAUUCACUGGGUUUAAAGGGUGCGUAGGUGGGCAAGUAAAUCAGUGGUGAAAUCUCCGGGCUUAACCCGGAAACUGCCAUUGAUACUAUUUGUCUUGAAUACUGUGGAGGUCAGCGGAAUAUGUCAUGUAGCGGUGAAAUGCUUAGAUAUGACAUAGAACACCAAUUGCGAAGGCAGCUGGCUACACAAAUAUUGACACUGAGGCACGAAAGCGUGGGGAUCAAACAGG